CACGUAGGAGGCGAACGUUAUCCGGAUUUAUUGGGCGUAAAGCGCGUGUAGGUGGUUCUGUAAGUAGGGCGUGAAAGCUCCUGGCUCAACCGGGAGAGGCCGUUCUAUACUGCAGAGCUAGAGGAUGGUAGAGGGAGGUGGAAUUCCAGGUGUAGCGGUGAAAUGCGUAGAGAUCGGGAGGAACACCAGUGGCGAAGGCGGGUAACUGGACUGCAACUGACGCUGAGGCGCGAAAGUGUGGGGAGCAAACAGGAUUAGAUACCCGCGUAGUCCCU
rnacentral:rRNA from 1 species